rnacentral:rRNA from 1 species
AACUAAGCAUAUCAAUAAGCGGAGGAAAAGAAACUAACAAGGAUUCCCCUAGUAGCGCGCGAGCGAAGCGGGAAGAGCUCAAAUUUAUAAUCUGGCACCUUCGGUGUCCGAGUUGUAAUCUCUAGAAGUGUUUUCCGCGUUGGACCGCACACAAGUCUGUUGGAAUACAGCGGCAUAGUGGUGAAACCCCCGUAUAUGGUGCGGACGCCCAGCGCUUUGUGAUACACUUUCAAUGAGUCGAGUUGUUUGGGAAUGCAGCUCAAAUUGGGUGGUAAAUUCCAUCUAAAGCUAAAUAUUGGCGAGAGACCGAUAGCGAACAAGUACCGUGAGGGAAAGAUGAAAAGCACUUUGGAAAGAGAGUUAACAGUACGUGAAAUUGUUGGAAGGGAAACGCUUGAAGUCAGACUUGCUUGCCGGAGCUUGCUUCGGUUUGCAGGCCAGCAUCAGUUUUCCGGGGUGGAUAAUGACGGUUUGAAGGUAGCAGUCUCGGCUGUGUUAUAGCUUUCCGUUGGAUACGCCCUGGGGGACUGAGGAACGCAGCGUGCUUUUUGCGAAAGACUCGUCUUUUUCACGCUUAGGAUGCUGGUGGAAUGGCUUUAAACGACCCGUCUUGAAACACGGACCAAGGAGUCUAACAUGCUCGCGAGUAUUUGGGUGUCAAACCCGGAUGCGCAAUGAAAGUGAAUGUAGGUGGGAACCGCAAGGUGCACCAUCGACCGAUCUGGAUUUUUUAAGAUGGAUUUGAGUAAGAGCGCGUAUGUUGGGACCCGAAAGAUGGUGAACUAUGCCUGAAUAGGGCGAAGCCAGAGGAAACUCUGGUGGAGGCUCGUAGCGGUUCUGACGUGCAAAUCGAUCGUCAAAUUUGGGUAUAGGGGCGAAAGACUAAUCGAACCAUCUAGUAGCUGGUUCCUGCCGAAGUUUCCCUCA